UACCUGGAAGAUGCAUUUUGUGUGUGUUUGAGAUAGAGAGACAGGGAGGGGGGGAAGUCUUUUGAAAGAUUUGAGGAAUUGUCUACUCUAGCACAUCAGCAUAAAAAUUACAUUUUAUGACUGGGACCUGCACCCUAGCAAAAGAGAAGAGACUGGUUUUGGAACUGAUGACAGUAAGCUCCUUGGGUAAGGUGUUAAAACAGGUUUGAUACUUUGCUUGUUCUUUGAGUGCUUACCUUGCACCUGUGCCUAGAGAGCUCUAGGUGGCUUGAGACUGGGCUUCUUUCCGUGAGAGCCCCGGCCUGCUGUGCUUAGGUGCUGAGCUUCUCUCUUCCCAUUUUCAUUCCAGACAGCAUUCCUCCUGUUGAGGCCGCAGAUGCUUCUCUGCUCUGCUGCCCCGGAGGUAUGCUGAGCCCCGGGAGGGGCGCCUCACCUGGACCUUUGGCCUUCCUGCCGGGGCCCCAGCAGUCCCGGUUGGGGGACUUGUCUGAGGAGCUCUCCGAGCUUUCUUUGGAGGCAGUCAUUGAAAUGCAUUUGAUUUUGGAACGGUGUUUAAAGAGCCGGGAUGCCGCUGACGUCUGUUUGUCAUCCGGGCAAACGCCUGUUCCUGGGACAAUAGCGGGACAGUUUCCUAGCUUUGCUCAAAUAUUGACACUGCCAGGUCUGGGGCAGCCAGUUUUUACCCUUUGGACUCAGGCGUGCACUGAGGAAUUAUGACUGUGACGAAAGCCACAGAGUUACAAUCUUGGGCUUGGAAGGUAGAGAAAGCAAGUCCAUUGAGCACCCAUUACUGGGCAGGCGUGGUAAAGGCUGUUUUUUUUUUUUUGUUUUGUUUUUUUUGUUUUUUUCCAACAUGCAUAGUCAUCUGUAACGAAGAAAAAUUAUGAGAUACACAUCAUCGUCCUCACUUCACACUGGAGCUGGGAGAUGAACUGGCUCAGCCAAGGUCCGGUCGCGUGGACGUGGCAGAGCCGAACUCCGCACGCCCGUGUCUCUCUCUGCUCUCAAUUCCACGCUCCUUAGCCAGCAGCCCAUCGUUCCAGUGCAAACGGUGAGGCUCAUGAUGCUCUCGGCGGUCUGGCCAGGGAAGGCGAGUCUGGACCCGAAGCUGGAGAAGGGCCUCCUGGAAGGUGUGCUGGCAGCCGCCGCAGCACCUCCCCACAAAACCGCAUCCUGCUUCCCGGCCGAGCCCAGGGCCUCAGGGUUGGCAGAGCACCACCGGGAGCUUGGAAGCACCUCCCCGGUACCUUCCAGUCUUCCCUACUUGGUCAGCUCUGGCUCGUUUCAGUGCAGAAACCUCCUACCUCCUCUCCCGGCCUCUCCCCUCGCUCGACCUCCAGGCUGCUCUUUGGAAUAAGCUUUCCAAAGACCCAACCAUAUCGCGGUGCUUCUGAGCUUUCACUCUUCCAAAGGCUUCCUGUUAUAAUUCAGAUGAAGCCUGAAUUCUUUGGCCGAGCUGCUAGCCCCCAAAGGUCAUUUGGUUUUCUGUUUUGUUUUGUUUUUAUUUUUCCCUUUUUUUUUUUUUUCCUUUUCUAGAGCCGCUCCUGCGGCAUUUGGAGGUUCCCUGGCUAGGGGUCAAAUCGGAGCUGUAGCCACCAGCCUAGACCAGAGCCACAGCAACAGGGGAUCCGAGCCACAUCUGCCACCUACACCACAGCUCACACCAACGCCAGGUCCUUAACCCACUGGGCAAGGCCAGGGAUCGAACCCGCAACCUCAUGGUUCCUAGUCGGAUUCGUUAACCGCUGAGCCACAACGGGAAGUCCAAUACUUGUCAUUUUCUGGCUUUUUGUUUUGUUCUGUUUUUGGGUGGUGCUUGCCACCCUUGUGCAUGUGAAGUUACAAUUAACUUUUCAUUGGCUUGUUUCCCGCAUGAACAAACUCCGCAGAGGCCGAGACUAGCCUAGAUCUUGUUCGUUAUGGUCCUCCAGGGCCUGACACAUGGAGGGGGUGCUGGAUCACUGUCUGUAAAAUGGGUGAGAAGACCUGAAUCCUCCCGAUGUGCUUGCUUCCGUGAAUCUAGGGGUUGGACGGGGACAACAGGCAGGACUGCAAUAGCUGCACUAGGUGGCUGGCUCCGUGGCUUUAAUGGUCUCACCGAGAGGCUCCCGACCCGGAGGGUGGCCUGAGGGUUCAUUUCUCCAGCUCGGGAUGGGGAGGAAGGUACUCACGUCUGCUGGCAUUUCUGUCUGUGACUCUGGGGAGUCUUUCUAUCCCAGAUGCAUUUUCGGAGGACACGGGAACCCUGCCUAAUGAGAAAGCCAUUCAUUCUGAGUGGAGGAGGAGAAGAAAAAAAAGCGAAACAAAAGUUCCUUUCCUGGAGUUCCCAUCGUGGCUCAGUGGUUAGCGAAUCCGACUAGGAAUCAUGGGGUUGCAGGUUUCAUCCCUGGACUUGCUCAGUGGGUUAAGGAUCCGGCAUUGCCGUGAGCUGUAGUGUAGGUCGCAGACGCGGCUCGGAUCCCGCGUUGCUGUGGCUCUGGCGUAGGCCGGUGGCUACAGCUCCGAUUCAACCCCUAGCCUGGGAACCUCCAUAUGCCACGGGAGCGGCCCAAGAAAUAGCAACAACAACAACAACAACAAGACAAAAAAAAAAAAAAAAAAGUUCCUUUCCUGGAAACAGGCCACACUGAUUAUACAUUCGUAAUAAUCAAGCCUGAAGCCCAGCUGUCAUGUCCUGAAACAACUCCAUUUAGCCAAAUUACAGGUGGGCUCUUGUGGACUGCUUAUCUUUUCCUGGCUGGCUGUUUUUGUUCCCAAAUCUUGGGUGUGGAAAGGUGAGCCGGAAGCCAAGAGGGGUCUGUUCCCUGAUUCCCUGGGGUGGCGGCCCAUAAAGACGGUGCCCAGAAGAAACGGCCGUGAAGCCUUCUCGGUAACGCUCCUGGGGUGUGAGGGGGGUUGAGGGCCACGGGUGUGUCUGCAAGACGCUCGAAUCCCUCUCCACCCUCUGCCAACAUUCCGCCUGGUCAGGUUUUGCUGUCAGGAGUCACAGCCUGUUCUCCCAACUUGGUUUGUCUUUCUCCACUUUGUUCUCCGUUUGCCGCUGUGAAGCCCACGGGGGGGCCCAGCCCUGGGAGCUUCCUGGUGAAAUAAUCGUCUUUCAAGUGUGGGGCUGCUUUUCAGCUCCAUCCUCCUUUUUUUGUUGAGUUGGAAUCCCCGCCCAACUCACUCCAAUAAACGUCUCCUCUGGGCGUUUUCCCCUCAAGACGUGGUAGGAACUCCUGAUCCUUUGAGGGAAGAGAAUAGGAAGCAGGAGCGAGGCCUUUGGGCAAGUCUGAGUAAACAGUGCUGACCUUGUGUAAAGGGCGCUCAUGUCGCUAAACGGCCGUGGAAAUACAAAAGAUAAGAGGAAGGACACAGCAGCCCUGUCCAAAUAUGGCCCACUUGAACGCUGGAUGGUAUCUCGGCCUGGCAGGAAAAUUCCAGAUGUCCCUCUGGCUGCAGAUGUUUCACCUUAUCUGCCUCUGCUGAUAAACGGAAGACGAGCUUGGUAUCGGGAGGUGCUGGUUGUCUGAAGAAGUGCAGCACUGGUGUUGGGGCGCCUCUCUGCCCGCGCCCUAGCCUUUGCCCGACGCCUCGGAUACACCCUGACUUAUCAUUUCACCCGGACCUGCCCUCAGUGGCUUCGUUUGCAUGGCUUCUUCCAAUGCGGAUCCCAGAGGAGCCAGAGACGGCCCGUCCCCUGUGCCUCGGGGUGCUGUUGAGUCACGGGAAGGGGAAUUCUGCCCCCCCCCCCCAAAGCCCAAAGCUGCUAGCGACUUUGUUUUUUCUGGCACACUAACUAGGCCCAAAUCUCCUGGCCUCCAGUUCACACUCCCAGUGCCUCCAGCAGAGAGAAACGUGGCUCUUGCUCCCUCAUGUUUGCACAUAUGACGAGUCUACUAAUAGCUUCUGACCGGUCGGGCAGCCCUGCUUUUGAGCAAGCCAAACACUUGUAACCUGAACGUGGAAACACAGCACAGUUUUGUACAAAGAAGGCUGUGCAGAUUUUUAACUCCUUUUGCUCCCGACGGCAGCCUAGGAGAGAACUUCCAAACUUCAGCAGAAAUGCAGGACAGAAAUGCAAGUUUAAGCUCCAGCUUCUGGGCUGCACACUUGAGCAAGAUCAUUACAGAUAGAACAGAACCUUUGACCCGGGCAGUUCAGGCUGCGCUGGGAGGUGCAUCUGGAUGGAUCCGCCCCGAGGUAGUGUAUUUACAAUGAGAAUUGAAGGAAGAGUUUUGAAACAUCCUGUCACAGGAUGUACUGACGCGCCUGCCUGAACAGGCGGCGGAGGAAACCGGGAGCGGGUGCGGGAUCGGUGACCACACCGCCCUCUGGUGGUUUUCCCGAGAAAUAAACGAACGAGCUGCAGGUGGACCCAAGGUCUGCGGCAAAUUGACCCCAAUCAGCUCCCCAGCGGUGUGUUGUUGAGAGGGAGGAGGCGGCGAGGGAGGGAGGGGGAGAGACGGGAAGGGAGAGGAUUCCUGCCCACGGCUUUCACCUCUGGGGCCCUAGCGACGGACCGGCCGACUGAGGUCCAGUUUGGGCCUCGGGGCAAACCCCUUGCCCCAGCUUUCCAGCAAGGGAUGCUAGUGACAAAUCUUGACUGCGUAUUUGGACCAGGGCCCCGGGUUCCUUUCUAGCCGCCGAAGCUUUGCCCCUGCUGCUUCUGGCCUGCAUUCCCUUUCGAGGGCCAACAACCCCCGCUGAAAAGAGGAACCGUGUCUAAAAUUCCUGAUCUCGUUGGGCUGUCAUAUGCAGCGAGAUAAAUAGGAGCCUCUUUGGUUAGAGCCAGUCACCUGCUCACCAAUGAAGACUGACGUGGGUGUGCAGCCAUCACAGCUAAGGUCAGUCAUGACUUACCCGGGAUGGUUCCUGAGCACAUAACUCUGAAGAAUGAUGUGGACACGUGAAUAUAAGCUGGACUCUGCCAACAAGCCAACAGCAGAGAGCGCAGGAGAGGAGGGCAGGUGUCAAUAGGACAGGCGCUAGUAAGUCCAGGGUGAUGUCCUCAGCCGAGUCAAUGUAUUUACACCCUUACUUGUUCCUCCCUAGAUUCCCCAAGCCCACCCCUCGGCAAUCUUCACUCCCUUUCACUUCCCAGCACUUGUCAUCUGUGCUUUCGUCCUGCUUGCUACCACUCACAUUCUGCUCUGGAUGUUUUUAAAGUUUUUUGAGUUUUAUGCAUAGAUUGACCCGUUGAAACUCAACAAUCACUGUUUGUAUCAUUGUGCUAUAUAAUUAGUUCUCUUUCAAAAGCAAAUUUCUGUCUUCUCUGCCUACCUCAUGUAUAGAAGUACCCAGCAGGCACUUGCAUUUGCGGAAUGAAUGAAUAUGCCUGAGUUAUUUACAAAUGGAUUGAUUCCGCCUCUAAUGGCAAGUCCAGUAGGGUGGCAAGGAGUGGGGGAGCGGUGAGGAAAGGCUUGCAGGAACACGCCUACAUUUUGGUUCUGGUAUGAAGGUGGUUAAAGCCACUUAUGGAAACAAAACCUUUGGCCUGAGGGAAAUCUCAGCUUGUAUGUGCAAAUUGCAGUACCCUGUUGGGACAGAAGGGGGCCCCUUCCAGGGCCGGAGGCUGGGGCUCUUGUCUAACACAAGAGGAGACACCUAUGCUGACAAAGCAAGAGACUUUAUUGGGAUGGGCGCUGCGUGGAGAGCCCCAGGGUGAGGCAACCCAGGAGAACUGGUCUGCCAUGUGGCGCACGGUCUCUGGUUUUGGGGAAUGGGGUUAGUUUCUGGGUUGUCUCUGGCCAGUAGUCAUGCCCGACCCCUGCUUGGUCUGGCUCAGCAUCCUUCUUGGUGGCUCCUGCACCUUUCAGCCAAGAGGGAUUCCAGCACCGAGGAUUCUGGGAGGUUUGUUGUCUCCUCCCUCCACUGGCCCCUCCCAACUCCUCCCAGGUAGUCUUCAGGGCAGCACCACGGGCCUUAUCAGGGCCUCCUGCUGGGAGACAACUCUUUCAAGUGGCUGUUAUCCUGCCUGGCCAAGGUGGGUGGGCAGCUUUCGUCAGUGGUCCCCUGACACUGUGAUUCCUCUUCUCUCCAAGAAUUGGAAGAAUAUUUCUUCCUAAGAGAGGGAUAGGGCAGGUGCUACUGCUGGUGGGCAGGACUUUGUCCGGUUCUGGACCAGGGCAUCUGUGCGAAGGGGGGAGCGGGGGCAAUAUAAUUUCCUUUGCUCAGGGCUGCAGAACAUACAGCUUUCAAUUAGGAUUCACCUCAACAGGCUGGCUCCCUGUGAUACAUGGCCCUUGGGGAAAGACAAAUGAAGCCUGGCACCGGGCGAGCUGUUCUCUGAGGAUAACUCUGCCCUCCGGGGAGUGUUGGUGAGAAUUUCUGGCAGGGGGAAAGGAUUGUGACCCGGGGAGAAGAAGACACACGGGCGUGAGUAUUGCUGUGAGGACUGUGGGUGAGGUGGCUCCAAGGAAGAGUCAAUGAGUGGAUGGAGCGUUAGAAAGGUGAGAUUUUAUGGAGGAAACUUGGCAGCUCUAAUUAGAAGCAGAAUAUGGAUUCCUCUCAGAAGGCAGCUCUGACAGACUUGCCCCUCCAUUUCACUAUUCACGCAGUUCGCAUGGCUUAGCAGAAACCCUGGUUACAAUGACGCCAAUUAGAAUAUCUGCACUGGCACCUAGUGGCACAUUUCCCUCGCUUUGCAUCUCAAGUAGUGCCUGGAAGAGGGAAUUUUAAUGAUGCCCUAUUAAGGCAGCUAAACAGUGCAGCAAAUAGUUCUCAGUUCCUCAGCUGGCAUUGUGAAGAAAAUAAUCUCUUCUAGUAGAAUUCUAGUUCUUAACAAUUGGGGGUUAUUGUUGGUUCUCAGAGGACCGCUGAUUCAGAUACCUUUUUGGAUGGGUGCAAAGGAAGAUGCUGCAAAUGUCUCUCUGGUUUGCAUGGAGGAGAGGAAGAAUUUUAUUCCUCUCAACCGACUUUUUAAAAAUGAGAAUUAUUUUGGAUAAUGAUCACAUAAUGAUAAGUAUGUUUAAAAUAAUGAUAUUCUUUUAAAACAAUGAUUUCUUCCCCCAUGGGCCAACUCAGGGUAACUGUGGGGAGGGAAGCUGAGUUACAGAGAAGUCCUGAGCCAAGGUUCCUGCAUCAUUACAUUUAGUAUAUUGCAUGAUAACAUGGGUUCCGUUAGUGGGCAGUCAUUUAAGCAGCUGCUACCAUUUCAAACCAAAGAAGCUGGCCCUGUUGGGAGUGACCCUCGAGAUUCAGGGCUAUGAAGCCCUGACUCUUGGGACCUCUUUGAAAUGCACACAGCUCGUCCCUGCUCCGAUUCCCCCUUGCACCCGGGAUGAGCCCCUAUUGACCGUUGGACUCCUGACUCCAGUCUGGACCGGUCCUCCUCCUUUUGCUGAACUGCAGGCCCGAGUCUGUGGGCUGGCUGUUGGCCGGAAUCCGCAUCAGGGCCAUGAGUGAAUGGUGUGGUUUACCCUACGGCGGAUUCUUGUCGGUACCAGGUUUUCACUCGCAGUACCUGUCUCCUUGUUCUUUGUACUUGUUUCUUCACUCACCUUUUCUUGCUUUUGGUUGCUAGCGUGUGCCUUCCAGGGUCAGGCGUUGCAUCAAAAGAGCCCCAUUCCCUAACGACGAUGGCUGCAUCCUCCUGAAACAAGUGGGCUGAGGCUGUAGCAGGAGAGCUGGAAAGUUUGCUCAUCUGAUGUGGAUUUGAAGGCCUCCUCGUUCCCUGAGACAUACGGCUUUGUAAACUAGGCCCUACAAUCUACAGUGGCCUCAAUGUUCAAGUAGAAGAAAGAGUCACAUGUCUCACUUUAAAUCAAAAGCUAGAAGCUUAGCGUGGAAGACAUGUUCAAAAGCUAAAAUAAGCCAAAAGCUAGGCCCCUGGUGACCGUUAGCCAAGUUGUGGAUGCAAAGGAAAAUCCUUGAAGGAAAUUCAAAGUGCUACUCCAGUGAACACGCAAAUGAUAAGAAAGAGAAACAGCCUUACUGCCGACACGGAGAAAGGCGCAGCGGUCUGGAGAGAAGAUUAAACCAGCCACAGCCUUUCCGAACGCCAAAGCCUCAUCCAGGGCAAGACCCUAAUUCUCUUCAAUUUUAUGAAAGUUGAUAGUGGUGAGGACGGCGCAGAAGAAAAAUUUGAAACUAACAGAGGUUGUUGCAUGAGGUGUAGGGCAGGAACCGUCUCUAUAACAUAGAAGUGCAAGUUGAAGCCGCAAGUGCUGAUGUAGACGCUGCAGCACGGAACCAGCCACAGUCUUUCACGAAGGUGGCUGCGCUGAACAACAGAUUUUCAGUGUCAACAAAACAGCUAGAGGAUCUUCACAGCUAGAGACGAGAAGUCAGCGCCUGGCCUCCAAGUAUCAAAGGACAGGCCGACUCUCUUGUUGGGAGCUAAUGCAGCUCGUGACUUCAAUUGAAGCCAGUGCUCACUUACUAUUGUGAAAAUCCUAGGGCCCGAAAGAAUUAGGCCGAAUCUACUCUGCCUGUGCUCUGAAAAUGGAACAACAAAGCCCGGAUGACAGCACAUCUGUCUACAACAUGGUUUCUGAAUAUUUUAAGCCCUCUGUUGAGACCUACUUCUUUUCAAGAUAACACUGCACAUUGAUGAUGUGUCUGGGUUCCCAAGGGCUCUGACGGAGGUGUUCACUGAGAUUUGUGUUGUUUUCCUGCUGCUAAUGAAACAUCCACUCUGCAGCCUGUGGCUCCAGCAAUAAUUGUGACUCUCAAGUCUUAUUAUUUAAGAAAUACCCUGUGUGAGGCUAUAGCUGCCAUCGACAGUGAUUCAUCUGAGGGAUCUGGGCAAAGUCCAUUGAAAACCUAGAAAGGAUUUGCUGUUUUAGGGUCCAUCAAAAACAUUGGUGAUUUGUGGGCAGAGGUAAAAAUAUCAACAUUAAGAGGAGUUUGGAAGAAGUUGUUCCCCAACCCUCAUGGAUGACUUCAGCGGGGUGGAAAGAGCAGAAGAACUAGAACUAGAAGUGGAAUCUGAAAGUGUGGCUGAAUUGCUGCAAUGUCAUGAUGGAACUUGAAUGGAUGAGGUUUCCCGCUUCUGCAUGAGCAAAGAAAGUGGUUUCUUAGGAUGGAAAUGCUCCUGGUAAAGAUGCUGCGAAGAUUGUUGACAUGACAACGAAGGAUUUAGAAUACUACGUACACUUAGUUGAUAAACAGUAGCAGAGUUUGAGAGGGUUGACUGCAAUUUUGAAAAGUUCUACUGUGAGUAAAAUGCUACGAAACAGCUUUGCCUGCUGCAGUCAUUUGGGAAAGGAAGAGUGAACCCAUGUCACACAGUUAGUGGUUGUCUUAUUUUGAGAAACUGCCACAGCCGCUCCAGCUUGAACCUGCCACCACCCUGGUUGGCCGACAGCCGUCCACACGGAGGCACUAGGACUCCCUGGAUGUUCGGAUGAGAAUUAGCAUUUUUUUAGCAGUAAAGCAUAUUUACAUUAAGGUAUGUACGUUGUUUUCUAAGACACAAUGCUAUUGCACACUUAAUAGACUACAGUGUAGCAUAAAUACAAUAUUUAUGUGCACAGGGAAACCAAAAAAUUCGUGUGAUUUGCUUUAUUGUGAUAUUUGCUAUAUUGAGAUGGUUUGAAACUGAACCUGUGCUAUCUCUGAGAUAUGGCUGUAUUUAUAAUGGGCAAUUUUAUUGUGUACUUACUCUUGCCAGACUCCAUACUGAGUUUGUUUAUUUAUUUUGUCUUUUUAGGGCCGCACCUGUGGCAUAUGGAGGUUUCCAGGCUAAGGGUC